rnacentral:rRNA from 1 species
CGUUCCCGGGCCUUGUACACACCGCCCGUCACACCACGAAAGUCGGCAAUACCCGAAGCCGGUGGCCUAACCCGCAAGGGAGGGAGCCGUCGAAGGUAGGGUCGAUGAUUGGGGUGA